UCUCUAGAAAGUGUUGUGGCUAGCUAAUAAUAUGUUAAAUGAAUUACAAAUUUUAAAAAAAUUCUGACACUGAACUGCACAUAUACCGAUAUGAAUAACAGUGUAUUGAAGUCAGUGAAUUAAUUACGUAAAAUGUAUUAUAACUGAAGUUCAGGGACAGCCAAGGUCAGGUAGUGAGGAGCAGAGACCACAGGGACCACCAGGGACAGCCAGUGUACAUGCAGGUUCCGGUUCUUCUGUGCAGCAGAACAUGUCCAGGUCUUUCCCAGGACUUUUUAGAGAAAGGCAGAAUUCCCGUGCCGUACGGACAACAAAAAAAAGACCUGCCAGCAAAAUAAACCAUGUGCAUUUUUUCUUGUUGGACCGUCCACGUGAUAAAACCCCCAAACAGUCCGAAGAGCUCGCCCUCUUACAGGCCGGGAUGGGGAGAAGGACCAUUCAGGUCCCUGAGGGUGCUUGCCACAAGGAGAUAACUUAUCUUCUUUGUGAAGUCUACUUCAAAAUGAAUGAGCUGGAGGG